AAUAAUAACUAGAAAAGGUAAAGUUCGUGAACGAACUUUAAGUUGGCUUGGAAAAGAACGCUAAUAACGUUAAAAAGUUAAAAUGGUUGCUAAGCUUUUUCCGUCUGAAGAGUGUGAAGAGUCAUUGAUAUGCUGUUAACUUUUGGCUAAACGCUAAAUGCUAAAAACGCUGAAAUCUAAAAACAUUUGGUUAAACGCUGAAAUCUAAAAACAUUUGGUUAAAUGCUGAAAUCUAAAAACGUUUGAUUAAACGCUGAAAUCUAAAAACGUUUGGUUAAACGCUGAAAUCUAAAAACAUUUAGUUAAACGCUGAAAUCUAAAAACGUUUGAUUAAACAAUGAAAUCUAAAAACGCUUGUUUAAAUGCUGAAAUCGUAAAACUUUUGGUUAAACUUUUGAUUGCUAAUGUGUUGCUAGGCAGUUGCUAUCAUUUCUGAAAAGGUUGCUAAGCUGUUGCUAGGCAGUUGCUAAUGUUGUCCAGGUGGUUGUUAAGCUAUUGCUAACUGGUUGCUAGGCAAUUGCUAACAUAUACCAGGUAGUUGCUAAGGUGUUGCUAGGUGGUUGCUAGGGUGUUGCUAGGUUGUUACUAAGGUGUUGCUAUGGUAUCUGGGGUGGUUGCUAAGAUGUUGCUACGUGGUUGCUAGGGUGUUGCUAUGGUAUCCGGGGUGGUUGCUAAGGUGUUUCUAGGUGGUUGCUAGGUGGUUGCUAAGGUGUUGCUAUGGUAUCCGGGGUGGUUGCUAAGAUGUUGCUAGGUGGUUGCUAAGGUGUUGCUAUGCGGUUGCUAAGGUGUUGCUAUGGUAUCUGGGGUGG